AUGAUGAUUUUUUCUGUUUCCUUUUUUCUUUUCAAGGUAUGUAUUGGGUGGAGGACCAUUAUGUAUGGAACUUCUCACAAAACAGGGCUGAAGCAGUGCCUACUCAAUAGAACCGGUCAUCGUGCAAAGAAAUGCCACCUGACUCAAAGGCAAAGCCAGAGUGCAGCUUGGAGCAAAGAAGAUGAAGUGUCACUCUGUCACCCAAGAUGGAGUGCAGUGGCACGAUCUCAGCUCUUUGCAACCUCCACCUCCCUGGUUCAAGCAAUUAUCCUGCCUCAGCCUCCCGAGUAGCUGAGAUUACUGGCCUCCACAAUUAUGCCAAGCUAUUUUUUGUAUUUGUAGUAGAGACGGGGUUUCACCAUGUUGAAGUAGUUCAAGACUGCAGGCUGGUGUUGAACUACUGACCUCAGGGGAUCUGCCUGCCGUGGCCUCCCAAAGUGCUGGGAUUACAGGCAUGAGCCACCGUGCCCAGCCUAUUUAAGCUGAUUCUUUAAGGGUGAGUAGAAAUGUUUUCCAGGUGACUAAAAGCUUGAGACAUUAUUCCAAGCAGAGACCAGCAGGUGCAAAGACACAGGGAUAUAGAGAUGUUGAAGUUUACCAAACACUGCUAGAUUAAGAAAACAAAAAGGAAACAAUCAAAAUCAAAACUUAAAAUUAAAAGUCACCAAUAAAAACUAUGAAUGGGCUAGGCAAGACGUCACAGCACCAUUGAGUUAGCUAUGACCGUAGACACUCAGUAAUGAAUAUAAGUUUUAGGAAAAAAACAUAACAUUCUCAGGUUGUUGACAGAGUAUCUAGCACAAUUUAGAAAUACAGGUAUUGAAUUCUGGGAGUAAUUACACUGUAAUGAAAUCAUUUCCUUCUCUGUGUAUGAAGCAUGUAUGUGUCGCACUCUGUUCAAGGUGCUGAAAAUCAGACUCUUCUCAAGGAGCUCAUGAACAGUGAAGGGAGAUGGAUGGGUGAGCAACUGAUUAUCAUGUGACAAGUGAGGUAAUAGAGAUAUGACUAAAAUGCUAUCUAAAGAAGAAGAAAGGCAUUACUCGUGAUAUAUGGAGUGCUGGGGAAAGAUUUCUGAAGUGAAGCUGGCGGGGCCUGAUGGCUCACAUUUGUGAUACCGGCACUUUGGGAGAUGGAAGUGAAGGGAACCAGGAGGAUCUAGGAGUUCAAGACCAGCCUGGUCAACAGAGCAAGACCCUGCCAUCUCUAUAUUUGAAAAAUAAUUAAAUGUUUUUAACGAAGUGAUAUUUGAGCACUCUGGAACACCAUACAAAUGUGGGAGAGACAGAAGGAAUAUAUGCAGCUUAAUCUGAGUUUGCAUUUUUUGAAAUUUUAUAUUGUAGAAGUAUACAUAUUUACUGUUGUGGAAUUAGAAAGAUUUGAUAGACAAGGAGGGAGGUCUACAAAGCACUCCAUAGAUCCACCAUACUGAGACAGUGCUUAAUGCUUUGAUGGAUUUAUUUAAACUUUCUGUGCAUAUUCAUGUAUUGUAUGCAUACAUGUGCAUGGUUAAAUAGAACGGGUUCUCCUUGGUGUUCUGUUUAUCCAUUUAUUGUUAUGAAGUACGUCCCCAAAGAGUACGUUUGCUUUGCUCGAGAGAGUCUUUUGCUACAUACUGCUGUACGUAAUGAAAACUAAAAAAGGGGCUAAGUUUUCAGCCUUGUGACCUUGUGGUGAUUCAAGCAGAGGCUUCAUCAAAGGCAGAUUCAGAAAUGAACUUGGUGUGUGCUGGUGGUUGUGCUUGACACUAUUGUUUGUAAUAGUAUGAUAGGGAUGAUUUCAGUGUCCGCCAACAGGAACUGGUUAAGUAAACUGUGGUCCAUCCAAAUGAUGCACACUGUGCAGCUGAAAAGAAGAUUGAGAAAGACUCUGCACUCACGUAGAAGAACUCGGAUCGAUGGUGUGUGUGUUUUAAAAGGAAGAAGGAGUGCUAUCGUAGGUGUGGUAUGCUACUUUUUGUGUUGAGAGAGAAGAGUAGAAUAAGAAUAUACAUGUGUAUUUUCAAAGAUAAAUUCUGAAAUGAUAUAUAAGAAAUCACUUGCCGGGCACGGCGGCUCACGCCUGUAAUCCCAGCACUUUGGGAGGCUGAGGCGGGCGGAUCACGAGGUCAGGAGAUCGAGACCAUCCUGGCUAACACGGUGAAACCCCAUCUCUACUAAAAAUACAAAAAAUUAGCUGGACGUGGUGAUGGAUGCCUGUAGUCUCAGCUUCUUGGGAGGCUGAGGCAGGAGAAUGGCGUGAACCCAGGAGGCGGAGGUUGCAGUGAGCAGAGAUGGUGCCACUACACUCCAGCCUGGGUGACAAAGCGAGACUCUGUCUCAAAAAAAAAAAAAAAAAAAGAAACCAAUUAAAAGUGUUGGGCUGUGGAAGGAGACUAAGACUGUGAAUGGGAUUUUGCCGCAUACUUUUAUAGAUAGUUACAUUUAGAAAUAUUCUGAACUAUAUAUUUGUACACAUGUCCCUUUUAAAAAUAAGUGAAUGAAGGAAUGAAUUAGGAUUAUGAGAAAGAGAUAAGAAAAAAGAUCUAAGGGGCUCCCCAUCUUUUUAGUACCCAGUGAAUACUAAUAUGUAACAAUAGCAGCAAAUAUUGGAAGAGUAGCCCCAGGAGGGUAGGGAGUCAGCCUUUCCUUUGUCUUUUCCUCAAUUUCAUAUAUUAACAUAUAUUCUGAGAACAAUAAAACAGUUUGAAAUAAAAUGUCUCCAGAUCUCUUAAAAUAAAAGAAAGAUGAGCAGCUGUAUGUAGUGCACUUCCCAGAAAUGGGCUGGAUUCCCUCAAGAGGCAGGAGUUCUAGCCUACUUGGGAUACAUACAUACAGGAGGAAAAAUAAGAAAAAGAAAAGAGAUUUAAAGAUAAAUAAAUGAAAAUAACACUUCUCCCUGAUUAUAAAGGAAAUCACAUUCUUUUUGUAAGAAUUUGGAUGACAAAUAUUAAGAAAAAUCUUUAAUUUGCCACUCAAAACAUUCUGGUGUGUUGUUUUUCAUACUUUUUAUACAUGUAAAUAUUUUCAAAAGUAGAAUCAUAUUAGAUAGUCUUUUUCCACUUACUAUAUUUUGGGCAUACUUCUGUGACAGGAAAUAUGUCCUAGCAUCAUCAUUUUUAAUAGCUGGAUGUAUAUUAAGAUUAUCAUUGCCGCCGCAGAGGUGAAUUUUCUUAUAUAUACAUUUUAAUGAAGUCGAGCAAGCAUUUUUGGACUGAAUUCAUAGAAGUAGAAUUUCUGGAGGGUAAUAAUUUUGAGGGUCUUUAAUAGAAAUUUUCAAAUUAUCCUCCAGGAA
rnacentral:lncRNA from 10 species